UACGGAGGGGGCUAGCGUUGUUCGGAAUUACUGGGCGUAAAGCGCACGUAGGCGGCUUUGCAAGUUAGAGGUGAAAGCCCGGGGCUCAACUCCGGAAUUGCCUUUAAAACUGCAUCGCUAGAAUUGUGGAGAGGUAAGUGGAAUUCCGAGUGUAGAGGUGAAAUUCGUAGAUAUUCGGAAGAACACCAGUGGCGAAGGCGACUUACUGGACACAUAUUGACGCUGAGACACGAAAGCGUGGGGAGCAAACAGG
rnacentral:rRNA from 1 species